CGCGCAUGCGUGGUGCAAAGCGUCUUCAGGUCGGGCGGCAGAUCCGGGCGAGUGCUGCGGUCACGGCAGCCACCGGCAGCCACCGUCCGGCAUGAAGGUCUGGGAUCUGGCUGCUGCCUGCACCUCGCUCCGGCACCAUGGAAUGCCUGCGGACUUUGCCCUGCCUCCUGCCUCGCGCGGUGGGACUUCCCCGGCGGAAGCUGCGUGCCCUGGCCUUGGACUUGACCUCCGUGGCUCGUCCCGUUGCUGCGUGCUGCCGCGCCGCCGACCUGGUUGGAAAGAGCCGGGCGGCGCAGCUCUGCGGGCCCGGCAGGCUCCGUGUGGCAGGUGAAGUGCACCGGUUUAGAACUUCUGAUGCCUCUCAAGCCACUUUAGCCAGUGUAGCCCCAGUGUUCACUGUGACAAAAUUUGACAAACAGGGAAAUGUUACAUCUUUUGAAAGGAAGAAAACUGAAUUACACCAAGAGUUAGGUCUUCAAGCCAGAGAUUUGAGAUUCCAGCAUGUAAUGAGUAUCACAACCAGAAACAACAGGAUUAUCAUGAGAAUGGAGCAUUUGAAAGCUGUGAUAACUCCAGAGUGUCUUCUGGUACUAGAUUAUCGUAAUUUAAACUUAGAGCAUUGGCUGUUCCGGGAACUCCCUUCACAGUUGUCUGGAGAGGGUCAGCUCGUUACGUACCCUUUACCUUUUGAGUUCAGAGCUAUAGAGGCACUCCUGCAGUAUUGGAUCAACACCCUUCAGGGGAAACUUAGCAUUUUGCAGCCACUGAUCCUUGAGACCCUGGACGCUUUGGUGGACCCCAAACAUUCUUCUGUAGACAGAAGCAAACUGCAUAUUUUAUUACAGAAUGGCAAAAGUCUAUCAGAGUUAGAAACAGAUAUUAAAAUUUUCAAAGAGUCAAUUUUGGAGAUCUUGGAUGAGGAAGAGUUGCUAGAAGAGCUCUGUAUAUCAAAGUGGAGCGACCCACAAGUCUUCGAAAAGAGCAGUACUGGGAUUGACCACGCAGAAGAGAUGGAGUUGCUAUUGGAAAACUACUACCGAUUGGCUGACGAUCUUUCCAAUGCAGCUCGGGAGCUUAGGGUGCUCAUUGAUGACUCACAAAGCAUUAUCUUCAUCAAUCUGGACAGCCACCGUAACGUGAUGAUGAGGUUGAAUCUACAGCUGACCAUGGGAACGUUCUCACUUUCGCUCUUUGGACUAAUGGGAGUUGCUUUUGGAAUGAAUUUGGAGUCUUCACUUGAAGAGGACCAUAGAAUUUUUUGGCUGAUUACAGGAAUUAUGUUUAUGGGAAGUGGCCUUAUCUGGAGACGCCUGCUUUCAUUCCUUGGACGACAGCUAGAAGCUCCGUUGCCUCCUACGAUGGCCUCUUUUUCUAAAAAGACUAUUCUGGCAGAUAGAAGCAUGGAAUUGAAAAACAGCCUCAGACUAGAUGGACUCGGAUCGGGAAGGAGCAUCCUAACACACCGUUAGCAGCAGCCCUGUGGAUACUCAAGCUCUUUAUGGUAGCCACAGGAAACCUCUGAGUCUAGUCCUCUUUCCAGAUGCAGCUCCAGGCCCGUGACCUCUGCAGGCCCUUCCCUGACUCCACCAGCAGAGACUUCCACUGCAGUUGCUGGCUGACCUCCUUUGGCUGUUGGUCAUCAUAUAUUGACCUGGAUGGUCUCAUGGGUCCGUUGAAUUUUCCCACCUAGACUCCAAGUGCCUGGGGCUGGGACCAUGUCCCAGGUUUGUCUGUCUCACAGGUGCUUGAUAGAACACUGCUCAUCAUACACUGAGUUACUGCUCUGUUGAGGCUUCUGAUGGAAGGCGGCCCCAUGAGAAGUUUCAGAAAUACAGAGACAGUGACAGCACUACCUGAGAUGCUGAAUCCUGAUUCUAGUUUGUUAUGACCAACUUCAUUACUGAAUGCGCUUAGGCCAUAGAAACAUAACUUGUACCCAAAUCUCAGCAAAAGGCCACUCUGAUCAUCCUCUGAUUGUCAGUGCCCAUUUUGGAAACAUAACAUCUGAUUUACCUUUUUACCCAGAGAACUCAAUGCCCCCAAGCUCAGGUAUGUGCUGGAAAAGUAAAGUAAUUUUAACACUAACCCAGAUGAACAAUAAUUAGGAAGUUGCAUUUUCAAUGUUUUAUAAAAAGUAAUCAACUGACCAGGUGCGGUGGCUCAUGCCUAUAAUCCCAGUACUUUGGGAGGUCAGGGCAGGUGGAUCACCUGAGGUCAGGAGUUUGAGACCAUCCUGACCAAUAUGGUGAAACCUGGUCUCUACUAAAAAUGUAAAACUUAGUUGGGCGUGGUGGUGGGUACCUGUAGUCCCAGCUACUCAGGAGGCUGAGGCAGGAGAAUCACCUGAACCCAGGAGGCGGAGGGUGCAGUGAGCCGAGAUUGCACCAUUGCACUCCAGCCUGGGCAAAAAGUGAAACUUCAUCUCUGAAGAAAAAAAGGGGAAUCAAAUAUAAAUUACUUUUGGAAAAUCUAUAUAUACCACUACUUUCAAUUGAUUCAAGUUAUAGUUAAUAUAUGUAUAGUUUUAUAAUACAUGGGGGUUUUGAUGUCUAAUUUUUGAAAUAAAUAAAAUUUUAAAUAUAAGCCAAGCUUGUGAGGCUUCCUGUGGUCAGAUCUUUCGAGAAUCUUCUUCUAAAAUUAUUAACCAUCUUUUUGUUGUGUGGUUAAUCCUACAUUUUUAGACCGCCCUAUAAAUGGGUCACUUAAAUUGUUGGCCUCUAGAGGGCAGUUUCACCACAAUUUUUCUUGAUUUCCUCCUUCUACCUUCCACACUGGUCAGCAGGAGCCUGGUUCACAGCACUUACCAAGUCUAAUCUGUGAAGGCUUCCCUAGCCCUUCAACCCACUGUUAAGACUCAUUCUUCAUACUAUUCAUUAGCAUUUAACCCUAGAGCAAUAAAACUCUGCCUUUCCAUGUAUAUAAAUCUUAUUUUCAAGAACAGGGACUUUGCCUUCUCUGUCUCUCAGAGCCUAGCACAGUUCUAUACAGUGUCAUAACCUAAAAUAAAUGGGUGGAUGCAAUCGGUGCUUUAGAGGUAUAUUUUAAGGUUAAACAUUUUUUUGUUUUACUGGAGUGCAGUGGCGUGAUGUGGCUCACUGCAGCCUCCACCUCCCGGGGUCAAGCGAUUCUCCUGCCUUACCUUCCCGAGUAGCUGGGACUACAGGUGUGCACCACCACACCCAGCUAUUUUUUGUAUUUUUAGUAGAGAUAAAGUAGAUAAAACCUUAGUUUUAUCAUGUUAGCCAUGCUGGCCUUGAACUCCUAACCUCCAGUGAUCUACCUGCCUCAGCCUCCCAAAGUGCUGGGAUUAUAUGUGUGAGCCACCAUGCCCAGCCAAGCUUAAACGUUUUAAACCACCAUAUCGAAAUUUAAAAUGUGUAUACUUUUUGAUCUAGCAAUCCCACUUUUAAGAUUCUCACCUGUGGGAUAUUUGCUCAAUUAUAAAAAAUAAAUAGGUAUAAGAAUGCUCACUAUGGAAUUGCUUGAAAUAGCCCCCAAAAAAUGGGAGGGCCAAGACUUAUGGAUCAGUUGACCCCAGGAGUUCAAGACCAGCCUGGUCAACGUGGUGAAACCCUGUCAGAGCCAGACCUUGUCUAAAAAAUGUGUGUGUGUGUGUGUGUGUGUGUGUGUCUGUGUGUAUAUCUCUAAAGUCAUAGAAAAACUCUGGGCUCAGUGUGGUGGCACAUGCCUGUAAUCCCAGCACUUUGGAAGGCAGAGGCGGGCACCUCACUUAAGGCCAGGAAGGAGUUCGAGACCAGACUGGACAACAAGGCAAAACCCCUUCUCUACAAAAAAUUUAAAAAAAAAAAAAAAAAAAAAAAUUAGGCAUGGUGGUGGACACCUGUAAUCCCAGCUAUUCAGGAGACUGAGGCUGGAAAAUCGCUUGAACUGGGGAGGAGGAGGUUGCAGUGAGCCAAAUUUGCAUCACUACACUCCAGACUGGGCAACAGGGCAAGGUUCUAUGUAAAAAAAAAAAAAAAAGGAAAAACUGAAAGUCUGGGAGAAAACAGCAAACUGUUAACAAUGGUUAUCCUCUAGGGCAA